rnacentral:snRNA from 1 species
AUCGCUUCUUGGCCUUUUGGUUAAGAACAAGUGUAGUAUCUUAAAAUAUUUUUUUUAAUUUAAAAAUGUCUUAGUAUUUACUCCAU